rnacentral:rRNA from 1 species
AUUGAACGCUGGCGGCAUGCCUUACACAUGCAAGUCGAACGGUAACGGGCCUUCGGGUGCCGACGAGUGGCGAACGGGUGAGUAAUACAUCGGAACGUGCCCGAUCUUGGGGGAUAACGGGGCGAAAGCUUUGCUAAUACCGCAUACGAUCUACGGAUGAAAGCGGGGGACCGCAAGGCCUUGCGCGGACGGAGCGGCCGAUGGCAGAUUAGGUAGUUGGUGGGAUAAAAGCUUACCAAGCCGACGAUCUGUAGCUGGUCUGAGAGGAUGAUCAGCCACACUGGGACUGAGACACGGCCCAGACUCCUACGGGAGGCAGCAGUGGGGAAUUUUGGACAAUGGGCGCAAGCCUGAUCCAGCCAUGCCGCGUGCAGGAUGAAGGCCUUCGGGUUGUAAACUGCUUUUGUACGGAACGAAAAGCCUUCUUUUAAUACAGGAGGGUCAUGACGGUACCGUAAGAAUAAGCACCGGCUAACUACGUG